GGAAGCAAGGGUGAUCUGGUUGUGACAGUUGUCACCCCAUUGAUCUCCAGUGUUGACUGAGCUGAUUUGGCCAGCUGGGGGUGGCAUGAUGUCCCUUUCCUCUUCACUCCAGGUACAGUCCUCUCAGAGCUGUGCACUCGAUGGGAGAGGAGCACCAUCUCUGAUAGAGGACUGUUCUUUGGUCAACGGUGUGUGAGUAGCUGCCCUUCCCUGCUCGAACCUCCAAACAAGCUCUCAAGGUCCAUUGAUAGUCAAGCUUCUAAGACUUCCCUGCAGACUUGAUUUAGAGUCCUGUAUUGAGUCUCUAUCCAU
rnacentral:snRNA from 2 species